rnacentral:other from 1 species
GAGCCUCUGCAGUGUCCGACAGAGCCUGAUGCGUUGACCCUACACAUACUUCUAAGGAUGUCGGAUCGGUUCGGCCGCGUGUCAUACCGUUUCCGCUCAAGUGGGCGGUCCCGGCUCACACAACCCGGACCCUCGGCGUCCCCCUGAACUUUAAGGGUUCAGAACCUUCAACGCUCACCGGCACAGGUGGAGGCUUC